UACGUAGGGUGCGAGCGUUGUCCGGAAUUACUGGGCGUAAAGAGCUCGUAGGUGGUUUGUCGCGUUGUUCGUGAAAACCGGGGGCUUAACCCUCGGCGUGCGGGCGAUACGGGCAGACUUGAGUACUGCAGGGGAGACUGGAAUUCCUGGUGUAGCGGUGGAAUGCGCAGAUAUCAGGAGGAACACCGGUGGCGAAGGCGGCGUUCUGGACUGCAACUGACACUGAUGAACGAAAGCCAGGGGAGCAAACGGG
rnacentral:rRNA from 1 species